rnacentral:misc_RNA from 1 species
UUAGCCACCAAUGUCACAAAACCAACAAAACACCUAAACGUAUGAACUGACAUUGCAGUUAGUACAAAACGACAGCCUGUUUAUGCUAGAAUUAACGUCAUUUGCGGCAUAUCGAAGAGCCGUUUCCGACUAUUACCACUGAAAAGCUAUGAAACAAAGGCAGUAUUGUGCAGUCUCGGGAUGCCCCAAUGCAAGAGGCAGCAGCACUGUCUCUCAGUCGGCAUCAUUCUACAGAUUUCCAGCUGAGUAUGAGCGGAAGAAGGUGUGGAUGAAAGUGCUGGGAGUUGUGAGCGUCAGAAGCUACAAAGUGUGCUCGUUGCACUUUACCGAAGACGCUUUUGUGGGCCGGCGCGAAGCUCUUGCACAAGCUGGCUACAAGACACGUCAGCUUCGUCGUGACGCCGUACCAACACAUCGCGAUAUCAAACAUGCGCCUGAAGAUGUCCAUGGCCCUCCACAGGGGCAAGACGACAUAACUGUUGAACCACUGGUGCAGGCUGUGAUACAAAGGAGGCGUUGUUGCGCAGUCCCUGGAUGCCCGAAUGGUAGUGGCAACUCUGUCUCUCAGUCGGUAUCAUUCUACGAUUUUCCACCUCAGAAUGAGCAGAAGCAGACGUGGAUGAAAGUGCUGGGAGUUCCAAGCGACACGUGCCACGGAGUGGUGUGCUCUUUGCACUUUAGUGAAGAUGCUUUCGAGGGCCGGCUUGAAGCUGAGGUGCAUGCCGGCUACGAGACACGACGGCUUCGUUGCGACGCUGUGCCAAUGUGUUGCGCUACCGAACACGCACCUGAAGAUGUCGGUGGCACUUGGCAUGUUCACGAUGACAAAGUUGUUAUCAGACAAAGGAAGCUAUGCGCAGUCCCUGGGUGCCCAAAUGCAAAUGGCAGCACUGCCUCUCAAACAGCAUCAUUCUACUGUUUUCCGGCUCGGAAGGAGCGAAGGAUGGUGUGGAUGAAAGCAUUGGGCAUUCUAGACGACAGCGGCCGCAAAGUGUGCUCAUUGCACUUUGGUGAAGACGCUUUCGAGGGCUGUCAUGAAGCUCGGAUGCACGCUGGCUACAAGUUACGAUGGCUUCGUCGUGACGCCGUGCCUACACUUCACGCUGCCAGACAUGCACCUGGAGAUGCUGGUGGCACUUGGCAGGUGCAAGACGACAAAACUGCUAUCAAGACGCAGCGUUGUGCAGUCCCAGGGUGCCCAAAUGCAAGUGGCAAGACUGUCCUCCAGUCGGCAUCAUUCUACAGGUUUCCAGCUGAGAAUGAGCGGAAGAAGAUGUGGAUGAAAGUGUUGGGAGUUCUGAGCGAGAAAAGACGCAGGGUGUGCUCAUUGCACUUUACUGAAGACGCUUUCGAGGGCCGGCUUGAAGCUCAGAUACAAGCUGGCUACAAGUUACGACGACUCCGUCGCGACGCCAUGCCGGUUCGUCACACUACCGAACGUGCACCUGGAUUUGUCUCUGGCACUCAGCAUGACGGCAGAACUCUCGCCAUAAAUGGCUUACACCUCCUUGGCUGUGACUACCGUGGCAAGCAUCAUGCGGCAACACAGAUGGCCUUGGAAAGAAAGGAAUCAAAAGGUGUACAGACUACUCCUUGUGUAAACCAGGGUAUGCAGACAGAUUGGUCCGUGGAUGUGCAGCCUAGAUUUCGUGUCGAGCAUACAGAGUGCCGGUGGACACAGUCGGAACUUUUUCCCUAGAAGUGGAUGUGAAAGACUUUGACUUUCAGUGCAUGAAUUCUUAAGGGAAGGUAGACAGUGAGUGCCGACUUCACGAGCAGCGUGGCUGGGCAAGGCCGAGCUAAUGUAAUCACAUCGAGUGCCUUUCAUAAGCGCCAUCUGAGCAGCUUCCAGACAGAUGAUACCGUCCAUCAUGUGAUGAGUCACUCAACUGGCCACGCUUGACAACACCAAGAACACUGGGCAUUCGCGAGAAAUCACCGAGUGUAAGAACGAAAGAUGAAAGAGUGUAUUUAUGCAGUCAAACAAGGACGAGGAAGCUGUUUGCUCACUCGAAGUGUGCAACUUGGGGCUAAACACCUCCCUGCAAGACUCAUCUUACAAGCAGAAUUGGUGCUGUUUCAGUAAAGGACCCUUUGCUGCAAACACGGACUCCCUAAAGGAAGAUGAACAACCAUCCCUAUUUAUGCAUUCCAUAUACCACUCUGAUUGAACCUCAUGAUUUCCGUACAGUUUUACAGGUUGCUUUAUCGAGUGAACAUGGAGAACCGACAAUGGGGUUCAUCGUGGACAUCUGCAAGAAAGAGCCAGACUGCGUUGAGGAGAGCAGCUGCGACAAUGCCCCUUCGAGAGAGAACAGCCGGCUGUUGUACUGCCACCUGUGUCCUCACACGGCGAAAACGCAGCGUUGUUUGAAGGACCACCUGCUGGUGCAUAGCGGAGAGAAGAAGUACGAGUGCUCAAUCUGCGCCCAAAGGUUCACGUACCUUAGAAACCUGAGGCGUCACAUGCCGUCGCACACUGCUGAAAAACGGUACAGGUGCAGGAGGUGCUCGUACGAUACAACCGACAAGAACGCCUACAAUCGUCACAUCGUACACCAUGAAGCCGACAAGCGUUACGCGUGCUCCAUGUGUUCAUACGCCACGUCACGUUGUUCGGACAUGGUGAAGCACUUGCGGAUUCACACUGGUGACAGGCCUUUCAAGUGCAUCAAGUGCUCCUACGCGACUGCCAGCAAGAGCACACUCACUAGGCAUGCACGCACGCAGCACGAGGAUUAUGAUUGAACGUUAUCGGUCUGAGCCAGCGAUGCCUUUGACUGAGCUUGGUCGUCUCUGCGUUAUAGGAGGCUGUUGACCCUGAGCACCUUUCAACAUGAGUUUUCACGUGUGCUUUUGUAUCUGCUACCAGAGUGAGAAGAAAAGUUGUUGAGAAUCUGUAAGCAUAUUUGAGAUGAGGACAUAAAAGCGUUUCCUUUGGAUUUGUUGUUGUUACGAAGGGGUGCUGCAAACUCCAACGAGGUUUCCCUUCUCCUAAGCCGCGGCUGCAAGUGGUUGCCGUGGCAGUUGUUGGUGCCAACAUCGGCUCCGGUGGGAGAGGUCACGUGCUUUCCGGACUCUACUUUUGUGGAUGCCAGAUGUGUGCGCCAACCUAUUCACCAACCUUCACCUUCACCUUCGGCAACCUAUUCAAGAAAUGCUUUUAUGUUAAAAUGACCAAACAAAGCAUUAGAAAGAGCUUGUAGAAAGCAGGCUCAGGAUGGUGAAGGUUGCCAAGUAAAUUAGACUAGCACUUCAGUAUGUCCCAUCACUACAUGCAACUUUGCUGGAGAACAGCUGUCAUACGUAAAAAAAAAAAGUUGAUAGUACAUGCCUAAUGUAUAACUGAUGCAACGACACAGUUAACAACUGGACCAUUUAAUGAUGACAUUUAUUCAUUCAUAAAGAUAAUUAAGGGUGUAAUAUGCUGGAAGUACAACUGAGCAUUUGUGCUAGAGCUUGCUUCUUGUGCAAAAUAAUGCAUAAUUAUGUCUU